GGGGAUGUGCUGGAACUGGCAGACAGGCAUGACUUAGGAUCAUGUGCCGCAAGGCGUGUGGGUUCGACUCCCACCAUCCUCACCA
rnacentral:tRNA from 1 species